rnacentral:lncRNA from 1 species
GAGUGGGAUUGUUCCUCAGCACCAUCUCGCUAGGGUUCUUCCUCAGCAGCUUUCUGGUAUCGGUGGUGGACAGUGUCACCAGGGGCGGCGGCAGUGGCGGAUGGAUCGUCAAUAAUCUGAAUCGCAGCCGACUGGAUGAUUUCUACUGGCUGCUGGCGGUGGUGUCGUCUGUGAAUCUGGUGCUCUACCAUAUGGUUUAAGUACAUGGUAUGUUAUUUUAUUAUCGGAGCCCGGUUGCUGAGAUCAUGGCUAUCAGGUAAGUGUAGAGGUAAACCGUUGCAGAAGACCCGGGUUCGAUGCCGAAGAGUCCAACCAACAAAGACUUUAUGGUAAAGUUUUAUGCUCAAUAAGUAGCCCUAGUUCUGGUUUGCUAGCUCGCUAAAAAAGCUUAGACCAAUCAGUUGAGGCCCCAAACCACAGCUCUCGGGUUCGAUUCUUCUUUGUAGAUAGAAUAAAGUAAGGAAUAUUCAUGGCCAGAUGGUUAACCUAGUUUUCCCCUUGUCCAGCAAGAUUGCCCUUGUUUAAUGUGCAAAGUCGAUCGCCAUCAGCCAUGGAACACAAAAUAGCUGCAUAUGUUUGCUCUCCCAGAGUUUUUACUUCUCAUCUUUGCUAGCUUUCUCCAGGUGAAGUUUAAAAGUAAAUUACAUUUU